rnacentral:rRNA from 1 species
UUUAAAGAGAGUUUGAUCCUGGCUCAGGACGAACGCUGGCGGCGUGCCUAAUACAUGCAAGUCGAACGAACGGAGGAAGAGCUUGCUCUUCCAAAGUUAGUGGCGGACGGGUGAGUAACACGUGGGCAACCUGCCUGUAAGUUGGGGAUAACUCCGGGAAACCGGGGCUAAUACCGAAUGAUAAAGUGUGGCGCAUGCCACGCUUUUGAAAGAUGGUUUCGGCUAUCGCUUACAGAUGGGCCCGCGGUGCAUUAGCUAGUUGGUAGGGUAAUGGCCUACCAAGGCAACGAUGCAUAGCCGACCUGAGAGGGUGAUCGGCCACACUGGGACUGAGACACGGCCCAGACUC